rnacentral:rRNA from 1 species
GGGUUGUGAGGUUAAGCGACUAAGCGUACACGGUGGAUGCCCUGGCAGUCAGAGGCGAUGAAGGACGUGCUAAUCUGCGAUAAGCGUCGGUAAGGUGAUAUGAACCGUUAUAACCGGCGAUUUCCGAAUGGGGAAACCCAGUGUGAUUCGUCACACUAUCAUUAACUGAAUCCAUAGGUUAAUGAGGCGAACCGGGGGAACUGAAACAUCUAAGUACCCCGAGGAAAAGAAAUCAACCGAGAUUCCCCCAGUAGCGGCGAGCGAACGGGGAGGAGCCCAGAGCCUGAAUCAGUGUGUGUGUUAGUGGAAGCGUCUGGAAAGGCGCGCGAUACAGGGUGACAGCCCCGUACACAAAAAUGCACAUGCUGUGAGCUCGAUGAGUAGGGCGGGACACGUGGUAUCCUGUCUGAAUAUGGGGGGACCAUCCUCCAAGGCUAAAUACUCCUGACUGACCGAUAGUGAACCAGUACCGUGAGGGAAAGGCGAAAAGAACCCCGGCGAGGGGAGUGAAAAAGAACCUGAAACCGUGUACGUACAAGCAGUGGGAGCACAGAGCAAUCUGUGUGACUGCGUACCUUUUGUAUAAUGGGUCAGCGACUUAUAUUCUGUAGCAAGGUUAACCGAAUAGGGGAGCCGAAGGGAAACCGAGUCUUAACUGGGCGUUAAGUUGCAGGGUAUAGACCCGAAACCCGGUGAUCUAGCCAUGGGCAGGUUGAAGGUUGGGUAACACUAACUGGAGGACCGAACCGACUAAUGUUGAAAAAUUAGCGGAUGACUUGUGGCUGGGGGUGAAAGGCCAAUCAAACCGGGAGAUAGCUGGUUCUCCCCGAAAGCUAUUUAGGUAGCGCCUCGUGAAUUCAUCUCCGGGGGUAGAGCACUGUUUCGGCAAGGGGGUCAUCCCGACUUACCAACCCGAUGCAAACUGCGAAUACCGGAGAAUGUUAUCACGGGAGACACACGGCGGGUGCUAACGUCCGUCGUGAAGAGGGAAACAACCCAGACCGCCAGCUAAGGUCCCAAAGUCAUGGUUAAGUGGGAAACGAUGUGGGAAGGCCCAGACAGCCAGGAUGUUGGCUUAGAAGCAGCCAUCAUUUAAAGAAAGCGUAAUAGCUCACUGGUCGAGUCGGCCUGCGCGGAAGAUGUAACGGGGCUAAACCAUGCACCGAAGCUGCGGCAGCGAC